GUUACUUCAAACACACACGCCCACAGAGCCCACACAAGACACACUGAAACAGGGCAGAAACAUGAGGACUCUCUCCUUUAUUCUGGUGCUCAGUCUAUCCCUUUCCUCAGUCGAUGCACUGAUAUGCUAUUCGUGCCGUUCAACCGCCUCCAAUGCAGAGUGUAAUCAGACAAACGAAACAUGCCUGGCUGCUCAGGAUACGUGUAUGACCACUGAGGAAAGUGCUGGAGAUAAGAAAAGCCUGAUGAAACAGUGUACCAGUUUGGCUGACUGUGAGAGAGUUAAGCGCAAUGCUGGUUCGGAUCCCCCCGGAAAAGGCAACCAGGUGACCUGCUGUAGGUCUGAUCUGUGUAACAGUGGGGCUACUACCAUCCACAUCCACACAGCUCUCCUGCUUCUGCCAAUAGGUGUCCUUUCUCUCCUCAGCAAAUAUUACAGAUAGACCUAAAUGUUCUAAUGUAAUAUUAAGUGAGAGCUAACCGGAACAUGCACAUACUGUAUGUAUGCAGAAUGUAACCAGGAUGUAUUUGAAAUGGGACUAUAAUUGCGCUACAACGUAUUAAUGGAGUUUUUUCACUUGUACUUAUUAGAAAUCAACUGUACUUUAAAUAAAGAUGAAAUAAUGAAGAGACUAAGGUCUUUAAAAAUUAAGUAGGAAGCGUAGCCUGAUGUUUUUGAAUCACAUCCUUCUACUAGGGUUUAUGGAAUGACUUUCCUCUUGGAUUAAAUUAUUAACAUUCAAUGAUUUACCUUUAUCUCUGUUGCAUUGUCAUGACUAAAUAUUAAAUGAUUUAUCUGCAUCUCUGUUGCAUUGUCAUGACUAAAUAUUAAAUGAUUUAUCUGCA